CUGAGGCCUUUUUUAUUUUUUUGUCUUUGAGCAUCCAGACAACCACCAGCCAAGAACCAUCACCACCAUAUCCUGAAUAGUGGGGAUCAUAGGCGAUUCAUCCUAGAGCUGGCAGUAGCUCUCUUAAAUGUGAGUGUAAUACUAUUAUUUAUAAACAGGCCUCUCUAGCCCUGGCUUACUGCACUAUUAGGUCUUUCUUGUGUUUCUUCUCACCCACAUACAGAGACCCAAGAUUGCAAGACCCUCUAAGUACAAAGAACUGCAGUUGAAUCUACCUCCGGAAUAAGAGACUAUCCAAACUGUGACUAUUUUCACAUCUGGAAUAAGACUCAUAGUAUUUACUUUUAUUAUUUUUAUUUUUUUAUCUACCUUUUUAUUGUAUUUUAUUUCAUUGUAUUGUAUGUGGCGCAGCCCUUAUCUGUUUUUUACUUUUGUACUUGCUUAAAGGGUUGAGAGGGAUCCCCUUUUACAGGGUUGCUGCCUUAUUGUCCACCCUUCAUUGUUAUCUAGCGCUGACCCAUUUGUGUAUUUCUAUUUGAGGGGAGUAGAGACAAAGCCAUAGGAAAGAGAGCAAUUUAAGAUAUGCGUUAAGGGAGGCACAAGGCAACUGGAUUAAUGGGAUUAAGGGGACAAGUGGUGUGACAAGAGGAAAGGAGGAGAGCAUACACCUCCUGUUCAGUAGCCAGGGAGAAAGCCUGAAGUGUAGGAGAGGAACAGUCAAAAUGAGGUUAAGAGAGUGGAGUGAAGGGGGGUGAAUUAUAUCUUUAACUAAUUAAUCUUGUCUGUAAACUAGCAUGCAAAGUUAUCAACUGUAAGGCUAUAAUGAAAAUGUUCCAUGAACUUGUAGCCGAGGUAGUCUGACAAGAUGCGAGACUUUGUCCAGCAGCGAGGGUUCUUAGAGCAGUUGUAUUUUUGUUAUAAAUAAUUAUUUUUUGGUUUCUUUGCAUGUUUUAAUAUGGUUACUUUCUGCUUGAUUUGAAGAAUCAUUGAUUAAAAAC